rnacentral:rRNA from 1 species
AAGUCGAGGGGCAGCACGGUUAGCAAUAACUGGUGGCGACCGGCGCACGGGUGCGUAACACGUAUACAAUCUACCUUAACAGGGGGAUAGCCUUUCGAAAGAGAGUAUUAAUACCCCGUAUAAAUUGAACGGCAUCGUUUGAUUUGAAAGCUCCGGCGGUUUGAGAUGAGUAUGCGUCUGAUUAGCUAGUUGGUGAGGUAACGGCUCACCAAGGCGACGAUCAGUAGGGGACCUGAGAGGACUAACCCCCCACACUGGUACUGAGACACGGACCAGACUCCUACGGGAGGCAGCAGUAAGGAAUAUUGGUCAAUGGAGGCAACUCUGAACCAGCCAUGCCGCGUGCAGGAUGACGGCCCUAUGGGUUGUAAACUGCUUUUAUACAAGAGAAAACCCUGGUACGUGUACCAAGUUGAUAGUAUUGUAAGAAUAAGCAUCGGCUAACUUCGUG